CCAGAAUGGAAAAAUAAAACACAGUUAUGGUCAUGUCCCCCAGCCUGCAGCUCGGAGGCAUGGACCAGUACAGAAAUAAGCUACACACCAGGCAGCUUUCUUCAGCAGAGCUAGCAUGGCCCUCUCGAGUCCUCCAUUAGCUCCGUCUUCAAAUGAGGGUUUAGUUGAAGUACCUGGUAUUAAUCAUACAGGUCAUAAAUUUUUGGGGUCCAGUUUACCUCAAAACCUGCUCCCCCCUGUACAUUAAGCAACACAGCAGUUGUUACUAUGGAAACAUUCAGCACAGAGAUGGUUGGCUCAAUAGCCUGGGCCCUUCAUUUGGACCUAAAGCCAGGGGUUUGUCUGCAUAACAAGAUGAAAGUGUGCUUGUAAAGACGUACAAGAGCAGCAGAGAUGUGGUGGAACAGGCUUCAGGUGUCACUGACAAGUCUCCAGAGGGCAACUGUGUUGCUGAGCUAUUCUGCACCCCAUAUACCCUCCUUUCACUCCUCCUGUUACUCAGGCAUGGCUGAGCCCGCUCUGUGUGGCCGGGAGGAUUAG
rnacentral:lncRNA from 1 species